rnacentral:rRNA from 1 species
AAUGGGCGCAAGCCUGAUCCAGCCAUGCCGCGUGUGUGAUGAAGGCCUUAGGGUUGUAAAGCACUUUUGCCGGGGAAGAUACUGACGGUACCCGGAGAAUAAGCACCGGCUAACUUCGUGCCAGCAGCCGCGGUAAUACGAAGGGUGCUAGCGUUGUUCGGAAUCACUGGGCGUAAAGCGCGCGCAGGCGGCUAUUCAAGUCAGAGGUGAAAUCCCAAGGCUUAACCUUGGAAUNGCCUUUGAAGCUGUAUAGCUAGAGUUCAGGAGGGGAUAGGGGAAUUGCUAAUGUAGAGGUGAAAUUCGUAGAUAUUAGCAGGAACACCAGUGGCGAAGGCGCCUAUCUGGACUGACACUGACGCUGAGGCGCGAAAGCGUGGGGAGCAAA